rnacentral:rRNA from 1 species
AUGUCUCAUGAAUUUAAUUUCUCUAAAUUUCAUAGACAACACUGUGAAGAGGAAUUGCCUAGUAAAGAUGAAAUUAUUGGUCUUGCUUGUAUUGCCGUACCUCCUAGUGAUCCUUUAGAACAAUAUUUUCUAGACCAUGAAAAUGAUAUGUUUAUGAAUGAAAGAAGGGAAAUAGAUGAAGUAUUCUUUAAACAGGAACCCAUCUUGAAACACAAUUUGCAUGUUGAAAUCCUAGGGGAUCCUCCUCCACCCAAGGGUGAUCCCAUGCUUGAGCUUAAACUAUUACCUGAUACUCUUAAAUAUGCUUAUCUUGAUGAGAAAAAGGUAUACCCUGUUAUUAUUAGUGCUAACCUUUCAGAGCAUGAAGAAGAGAGAUUAUUGAAAACUCUAAAAAAAGCACUGUGCUGCUAUUGGAUAUACUCUUGA